AAUUUGAAGAUAUCAGCGCAAGCACCCACAGCAUCUGGGUUAACCCAUUCUUCACAUAGAAAGGAUAACUCAGAAUUGAACCAAGAAAAUUUUGGGAUGAUGUCAGAAAAUACGAGUACAACACCAUCAAAUAACGCAUUUUCAACUAGAAUGCAACCUGGACCCACAAAUUCAGGUUCUCAAACUGGCAGUUAAAGUGAUCUCCAAUCAAAUUUGAAGAUAUCAGCGCAAGCACCCACAGCAUCUGGGUUAACCCAUUCUUCACAUAGGUAAGUAAAUAAUAUAAUCAACAUAUUAACUGUAAUGUUAGGUGCCAUGUCAUCAUGGCUCACCACACUGAAAUUA